GAUGAAGAACGUAGCGAAAUGCGAUAAGUAAUGUGAAUUGCAGAAUUCAGUGACUCAUCGAAUCUUUGAACGCACAUUGCGCCCCUUGGUAUUCCGAGGGGCAUGCCUGUUCGAGCGUCAUUACACCACUCAAGCUAUGCUUGGUAUUGGGCGUCGUCCUUAGUUGGGCGCGCCUUAAAGACCUCGGCGAGGCCACUCCGGCUUUAGGCGUAGUAGAAUUUAUUCGAACGUCUGUCAAAGGAGAGGAACUCUGCCGACUGAAACCUUUAUUUUUCUAGGUUGACCUCGGAUCAGGUAGGGAUACCCGCUGAACUUAAGCAUAUCAAUAAGCGGAGGA
rnacentral:misc_RNA from 1 species